AGCGGGCGGCCACGAGGGGUCUGCGGCGCUGCGGUGGCGGCGGCGCUCCGGGAUCCGGUCCGCCCGAGCACGUGCACUAACUUUAACGGAUGCACUGGAACUUUUUCCAGCGCUGGGCUUGCGGUCUAGAAAUAACACUCAAAUAAAUGUUCCCUGUCCCCCUCCGUUCAGCCGCCAACUUUAGGACAUUCACCAAGGCACUGCAAACACGAAAAGAACCUCAGUACUCGGUAGCAUGAAUUCUGUGCGGCCACACCUUUAAAAGCCGUACGUAUUUUUCAUCCAACGUAACUCAGAACCGUCAAUUCUACCAUCAAAAUUCCUGCUUGGUCCGGCAAAUAUACUGGUCUCAAACGAAAGGAUCCUCAUCGGGGAAUAAUAGAAAAUUGAGGCCAGAAAUGAAUGCGCGACAGCAACCAUUUUUGCUCUGGUGUUCCCAGCAUCACAGGGUGUGUGAUAGGAGAUGAGAAAUUUGCUGUCAACCCUUGCGGCUACCUGUCCACUCAGAAGCAAUAAUCCCGAAAGGCAAGGGAGUGAAGUGCCACUGGAUUAAGCCCUUGCUUUCACACCAAGAAUGUGCUGACUGGAUCCGUACAAACUCCUUUCUAUGGACAGGAGAUCUAGGCUCCAAGACCGGCCUGACUUAUCCAAUAGAGGGGGCCCUCGGGUGGCAGCCGGCUUCGCUCUAAGAUCUCGGCUCUGUUAUACCUCAUUGCCUCCCAAAGGGAAAUCAAGUUCGCUUACAAAGCCUUCAGCAAUGAGAGGUGUCCAGUGGAAUGGAGGCUGGAAAGGUGGUAGCCCCUAGAAGGAGGGCCUGCUGGAGAGACCCUUAAUAGGACAACGGAAAGGUGCAGGAGCAUUGGAAGUGGAACGCAUAGAGGAGUCUUGCCUGGCAGGGUUGGCGUGGGCCUAGGACGAAGACCAGGAGUGGGAGAUGACAGCAGGGGAGGGAGAACCCAUACCAGGCGGGAGUAGAAAAGCCCCUUCAGGCAUAGCUAUCUGAAAGUGAAAUACAAGGGGACCCUUGUAAAAUACUAUGUCAUGAAACUAGGUGCUGAGGGCUGGUCCGGGAUACAGAAGGGGGGAUUGCAUGCCUUUUGAAAAUGUUUUUUGACCACUACAAUUGCUCCCAUGUGGAUAAACGUGUUCCAUUAAUUUUAAUUAUUCCAGCACCUGUCAUAUUACUAGAGAAACAGAGACAUGGAUGCAGAGAGAGAAGUAAAAGAAAAAAAAAAAAAAAACAAACACGAUCAUGUGAAGGGAAAACACUUCUCACAGAUGGAUACCACACCCUUCCGGAACGCAACUAUCCAGCAAAAACACGUUUGUGGGGGUCCACAGCCAAGGACCAGAAAGAAGCUAGAUCUUACAGCCUACUUACUGUUACACAUAAUUCUCUCUCUCUCUCUCUCUCUCUUUAGGAUUUGUUUUAUUUUUAGAGAGAGCGAGCAGGGGAGAGGGGCAGAGGGAGAGAGAGAGAAUCUUAAGCAGGCUCCAUGCUCAGCACGGAGCCCGAUGUGGGGCUCAAUCCCAGGACCCUGGGAUCACGACCUGAGCCAAAAUCAAGAAUCAGGUGGUCAACCGAUUGAGCCACCCAGGCGCCCCGUCUUAUAUAUAAUUCUAGCAAGCUUAGAAAUCUGUUUUCAGAGUACCCACAGCAAAGAGGAAGCAGCAAAUAAUGACCUACAGAGAGGCUGAUGGAGCUUCCUUGUCGUACUGCAGUAAGUCUGUUAAACAGAAAUGGGGACAUAAAAAUGAUAAAGCCAAACCAUAAGAACACAAUAAACACAAGAAAUCUUCAGUAUACGGCAAACUGCCUCCCACUACGCCUUAAGGCUAUCACCAUAUUAUGCAUAAUACAACAAUAUAUGUUCACUGAUGUCCCCAAGUUGUCCAGAAAUGAUUAAAUUAUAUUCACAAGAGUAAGAAGGAAAGAAGUACAUAGUUUAUGUUGGAAAGAUUUCCCGCAUGAUAGCGUACGAAAGCUGGUGUGGUAGUCUCGGCUAUCCCUAUGGCUUUGAUGGUACUUCCCUGUCUCUUCAUGCUUUCAUUGGACAGACUGUUGAUUGAGCACAUUGGAGAAAUGGCUCUGAGAGGCAAGGUUCCUGCUGUCAAUGGAGUUCACAGUCUCACCUGCUCAGGACCCAUAGGUCUACCUGGAGAGCCUGCACCAGUGUUUGGACUUUUGUGGUCAGUGCUAGGAACUGGGUCUGAAAGAAGUUUUAACCUGGUUUUGGAUCUGAGCAAACGAAAUUGGCCCGAGGCUUUGAUCAAACAGUUAGGAAUCAGGGAGUAGUCAACACCUGAAGAAUCAGUACCCAUGACCAAGGCAUGCGACUUUGCCUGCACAAAAAUGUAACAAUAUGAAAGGACCGCGGAACUACACUUCCUGAAUUUGCCGACUCUUUCUCCUUGUUGAGGAAAUUAAUUCUGACACUCAUACAUUCUUAUAUUUAGGCUAUAACAUCCUAUAGCUGAAUCACUUUAUGGUUAAUCAACGCAUGUAAGAAUGGGAUGUGUAUAUUCAUUUAAGGAAAAACCUUAGAGAUCUUGAUAUUGUUUGAAAAAUCUACCUGAUUACAAAAGCCACAACUUCAUCAGAAAACCCAGACACAAUAAAAUGACUUUUCAUUUUCUUAUUGUUUUAGGAACCCACAAAUUUCUUUCCCCUCUUGAGGGCAAACCUUAAAAACUGGAAAUCUUUGUUUUCAUGAGCUCUUUCUUGGGAGAAAACAUGUAACCAAAAAUUUGCUCUUCUGGGUGCAAAGCCUACAGACGGAGUACAGCAAAGGAAAGCAUAUAUUUAAACAUUUUUUUAAAUGUGUUUAUUUAUUUUUGAGACAGAGAGAGACAGAGCAUGAGGAGGGGAGGGGCAGAGAGAAAGGGGGACACAGAAUCCAAAGCAGGCUCCAGGCUCUGAGCUGUCAGCACAGAGCCCAACACGGGGCUCGAACCCACAGACUGUGAGAUCAUGACCUGAGCCGAAGUCGGACGCUCAACCGACUGAGCCACCCAGGCGCCCCAGGAAAGCAUACAUUUUAAAAUUGGGCAUGUCUUGGUUCAAAUCCAGUCUCUUCUACCUACCAGGUGUGUGUGACAAUGGACAACUGAUUUUUUCCAGGCCUCUACUUGCUUAACAGUAAAACAAUGUCAGGAGAAUCCACCCCACUGGCUAUUGUAAAAACUAAAUGAAAUGUGCCUGAGCAGUUGUAGAGUAAGCUCUCAGUACAUCGCUCAUUACAAUGCAGGUGAAUGCACUAAAUUUUCACACAGCCUCCAUAUCCCUGCACUUUGCAGACUGGAAUGAUAGCACAGGGUAGCUCACACUGGAGGUGCUUCUAGGUUGGACAUGAGCGGCUGCUUUUUCCUUGGAAGAGAGGCUCACCUUCCCCUAAGGCUGGGCUUCCUAGUAAGCUUGAGGUUACCAAGGAACAACAACAAAAUAAAAGGGCAGAAGGAAGGCAGGAGUCUGCCCUUGAGAGGGGCUUGCUUGCCAUUUUUUCCUUAAGAAACGGGUGAGCCACUCCAUGGCGUGUUCAAACACCUUCUAGCAUAGCUGGUCCCAGAUGUCAGAUGGGGUUUGGAAAGAGGAAGUUUCAACAUCGAGUGCUUUGGCAGACACUCACGAGUUAUUCAAAAUAAGCUCUACGAUGCUGAUGGGUUAAGAUGGAGUGAGAGAUUUCUCCAUGGCAGGCCCAGACCUAAGUGCUGUACUGGUUUGCUGCGCUGGUGUGUGGGGAACCGAGGGCCCUCUGAGGGCCUCGCCCAUGUUUAUCAGCAUCCUGAAAGGCAGUCUCUGCCUCUGAACCCCACCAUGCUCUGGGCCUUUAUAUCUCCAUUCAAUGGCUGAGAUCGUCCUUGCGUACUUGGGUGGAUUGAUGUUAUUUCUAAAGCAUGCAAUUCAUUUCAAGAGGGGAGAGGAAGGAUUAAGUUGGAAAUAUUUUUGUAUUGAGAAGAAAAAUUAAAUGUAAGUGGAAAUGUUUUCAUGAAAAUGUUUUUAUAUUUCAACAUUUCCCCGAAGCACUCUGAUCUCAAUAUAACACAGGACUGUGCUAGAUUAGAAGGAAUGAAGACAAAAUGAAUUUAAAUAAAAUUGAAACUGACCAGCCAGGCUUUAUUCUCCCAACCUGAUGAAAACAACAAAGCAGGGGGAACAAAAACCCCACAGAUGAACCAAAAGAAGAAAUGAAAAUAAACUCCAAUAAAAUUUUAAACCUGAA